CUUUAUGAAAAAGAAAACAAAGCGAGCCUUCUUCUCUGUCGAAUUCAAACUCGAAUACACUCAGCUCAUUGUCUAUAUAAGGUUAUUCAUAUCAGGAAGCCAGUGAAGCCAUGAACGGCGGUUCUUG
rfam:Serratia symbiotica str. Tucson genomic scaffold scaffold00331, whole genome shotgun sequence.